CAUAUGGUAGCAGAUGCAAGGUUCCCAAAAGCAGAAAAGGAGAGUAGGCAAGUCCUAAUGUCAUUGGAAAGUGGGCCAGAUUUCUUUUUGCCAAAUGAGAUUUCCAAAGAUGUAAUUUCACUAAGGAUGAGCAAAUUCAAUAGCCCACUUGCGUACAUGUGAAGAUUCAUGCAAGGAAGCACCCAAUGGUUAGAUGGCUUGUGAUAUUUACUGAAGAGGUCAAUACCUCGAUCUAAUAUUUGUGGGUGAGUUGGGAGACUGCCCCAGGGAGCUGCUGGCCCCAGAAUGAAUGACAUGUGAAACUCAUCUGUACCUGACCACACAGCCUGAAUCAGAGCUACUUCAUCCAACCCACAGACUGUAAUUUCCGUGGGUAUCAUGACGUGGAGGAGGAACGUGAACGCCUCUUCUGUCCUGGUGUGUGAGGGCCACACCCCCCUGCUCCCGGCAGGGCCGUCUCACCUUUCUUGCCUGUUCUGGACCCUUGACGGGCGGUGGAGUGAGGCCGGUGCCAGGACUCAGUGAAGAAGCUGAUUA